rnacentral:rRNA from 1 species
CUACGGGAGGCAGCAGUGGAGAAUCUUGCACAAUGGGGGAAACCCUGAUGCAGCAACGCCGCGUGAAGGAAGAAGGCCCUUGGGUCGUAAACUUCUUUUCUAAGGGAAGAUAAUGACGGUACCUUAGGAACAAGUCCCGGCUAACUACGUGCCAGCAGCCGCGGUAAUACGUAGGGGGCGAGCGUUAUCCGGAAUUAUUGGGCGUAAAGAGUACGUAGGUGGUUUCCUAAGCAUGGGGUUUAAGGCAAUGGCUCAACUGUUGUUCGCCCUAUGAACUGGGUUACUUGAGUGCUGGAGGGGAAAGCGGAAUUCCUAGUGUAGCGGUGAAAUGCGUAGAUAUUAGGAGGAACACCAGUGGCGAAGGCGGCUUUCUGGACAGUAACUGACACUGAGGUACGAAAGUGUGGGGAGCAAACAGGAUUAGAUACCCUGGUAGUCC